GACGAACGCUGGCGGCGUGCUUAACACAUGCAAGUCGAACGGAAAGGCCCUGAUUUUGUGGGGUGCUCGAGUGGCGAACGGGUGAGUAACACGCGUGUAUCAUGUCCUUGUCUUUGUGAUAUCUUUACGAGACUCCGGCUAAUACCGGAUAGGAGCUCUUGCUGCAUGGGGGGGGAUGGAAAGUUUCGGCGGUUGGGGAUGGACUCGCGGCUUAUCUGCUUGUUGGUGAGGUAGUGGAUUACCAAGGCUUUGACGGGUAGCAGGCCUGAGAGGGUUACCGGCCACCAUAGUCCUGAGGUACGGCGCAGACGCCUACGUGAGGCAGCAGUGGAGAAUAUUGCACAAUGGGCGGAAGCCUGAUGCAGCAACGCCGCGUGCGGGAUGACGGCCUUCGGGUUGUAAACCGCUUUCGCCUGUGACAAAGCGUGAGUGACGGUAAUUAGUAAAGAAGCACCGGCUAACUACGUG
rnacentral:rRNA from 1 species